CCUGAGAAACCCAAAAGAUCGAAUGGGGAGAUUCAUCGUCAGCUUAUCCGGUAUAUGUGCAAGUUGUGAUAAAAAUUUUUCGGAAUUUUUACACGGUUGUGUCAUUUAAUUGCCGGAUAUUUGUCGGCGUGCACUUCUCCCCUAGUAGGACGUCGCGACCCGUUGGAUGUCAAUCUAUGUCCCAAUUGGUAGCCUUUAGUAAUGUUUUUAUUAAUAUUAUUGAAGACCAUUGGUGUAUUAUACUGAUUGACUGUCCGACGGUAUGCGCAUGGUAUUGAGCCGCAUAAUAUGUGCGUCGGGCUUGUAACAAGUGUAAUCAGUGUCUAACCUUGCAGUAUGGACUUUGUUCCGUCGUGAGGCCUGAUUCACUGUUGGAUUACAAUGUUCUUCGACCGGCUCGAAAUUUGAAAAGAAUACCAGUCGGCGACGCUACUGCUUUGGUA
rnacentral:rRNA from 1 species